UACGUAGGGCGCAAGCGUUAUCCGGAAUUAUUGGGCGUAAAGAGCUCGUAGGCGGUUUGUCGCGUCUGCCGUGAAAGUCCGGGGCUCAACUCCGGAUCUGCGGUGGGUACGGGCAGACUAGAGUGCAGUAGGGGAGACUGGAAUUCCUGGUGUAGCGGUGAAAUGCGCAGAUAUCAGGAGGAACACCGAUGGCGAAGGCAGGUCUCUGGGCUGUAACUGACGCUGAGACGCGAAAGCGUGGGGAGCAAACAGG
rnacentral:rRNA from 1 species